rnacentral:rRNA from 1 species
CUGUCCCUAGUACGAGAGGACCGGGACGGACGAACCUCUGGUGUGCCAGUUGUUCUGCCAAGGGCAUGGCUGGUUGGCUACGUUCGGGAGGGAUAACCGCUGAAAGCAUCUAAGCGGGAAGCCUGCUUCGAGAUGAGUAUUCCCACCUCCUUGAGAGGGUAAGGCUCCCAGUAGACGACUGGGUUGAUAGGCCGGAUAUGGAAGCCCUGUAAGGGGUGGAGUUGACCGGUACUAAUAGGCCGAGGGCUUGUCCUC